UGGGGGAUAUUGCACAAUGGAGGAAACUCUGAUGCAGCGACGCCGCGUGAGUGAAGAAGGCCUUCGGGUCGUAAAGYUCUGUCCUAGGGGAAGAUAAUGACGGUACCCUAGGAGGAAGCCCCGGCUAAYUACGUGCCAGCAGCCGCGGUAAUACGUAGGGGGCGAGCGUUGUCCGGAAUUACUGGGCGUAAAGAGUUCGUAGGCGGUYUGAUAAGUCAGAUGUGAAAGGCGUAGGCUUAACCUAUGUAAGCAUAUGAAACUGUCAGACUUGAGGUAAGGAGAGGAAAGUGGAAUUCCUAGUGUAGCGGUGAAAUGCGUAGAUAUUAGGAGGAAUACCAGUGGSGAAGGCGACUUUCUGGACUUAAACUGACGCUGAGGAACGAAAGCGUGGGGAGCAAACAGGAUUAGAUACCCUGGUAGUCCACGCCGUAAACGAUGAGUGCUAGGUGUCGGGUAGAAAUMUUCGGUGCCGCAGCUAACGCAAUAASCAUCCGC
rnacentral:rRNA from 1 species